rnacentral:rRNA from 1 species
CUACGUGCCAGCAGCCGCGGUAAUACGGAGGAUGCGAGCGUUAUCCGGAUUUAUUGGGUUUAAAGGGUGCGUAGGUUGUUCGGUAAGUCAGCGGUGAAACCUGAGCGCUCAACGUUCAGCCUGCCGUUGAAACUGCCGGGCUUGAGUUCAGUGGCGGCAGGCGGAAUUCGUGGUGUAGCGGUGAAAUGCAUAGAUAUCACGAGGAACUCCGAUUGCGAAGGCAGCUUGCCAUACUGCGACUGACACUGAAGCACGAAGGCGUGGGUAUCAAACAGGAUUAGAUACCCUGGUAGUCCACGCAGUAAACGAUGAUUACUAGGAGUUUGCGAUAUACCGUCAAGCUUCCACAGCGAAAGCGUUAAGUAAUCCACCUGGGGAGUACGCCGGCAACGGUGAAACUCAAAGGAAUUGACGGGGGCCCGCACAAGCGGAGGAACAUGUGGUUUAAUUCGAUGAUACGCGAGGAACCUUACCCGGGCU